rnacentral:rRNA from 1 species
AUUGAACGCUGGCGGCAUGCUUUACACAUGCAAGUCGAACGGCAGCGCGGGCUUCGGCCUGGCGGCGAGUGGCGAACGGGUGAGUAAUACAUCGGAACGUGCCCAGCAGUGGGGGAUAGCUCGGCGAAAGCCGGAUUAAUACCGCAUACGACCUGAGGGUGAAAGCGGGGGAGCUUCGGACCUCGCGCUCUUGGAGCGGUCGAUGGCAGAUUAGCUAGUUGGUGGGGUAAAGGCCUACCAAGGCGACGAUCUGUAGCUGGUCUGAGAGGACGACCAGCCACACUGGGACUGAGACACGGCCCAGACUCCUACGGGAGGCAGCAGUGGGGAAUUUUGGACAAUGGGCGAAAGCCUGAUCCAGCAAUGCCGCGUGUGUGAUGAAGGCCUUCGGGUUGUAAAGCACUUUUGGCGGGAACGAAAAGGACUGUGCCAAUACCACGGUUCGAUGACGGUACCCGCAGAAUAAGCACCGGCUAACUACGUG